UACGAAGGGGGCUAGCGUUGCUCGGAAUCACUGGGCGUAAAGCGCACGUAGGCGGCUUCUUAAGUCAGGGGUGAAAUCCUGGAGCUCAACUCCAGAACUGCCUUUGAUACUGCGGAGCUUGAGUCCGGGAGAGGUGAGUGGAACUGCGAGUGUAGAGGUGAAAUUCGUAGAUAUUCGCAAGAACACCAGUGGCGAAGGCGGCUCACUGGCCCGGUACUGACGCUGAGGUGCGAAAGCGUGGGGAGCAAACAGG
rnacentral:rRNA from 1 species